GCACAGAUGUUCCUAUCGAGCCAACAACAGCCAAUUUUAUCGCGACCAGCACCAACCAAACGCUACCAUCAACCGAUAACUUCAGUACUCCCUACACUCCCCCACAGACAAUGUCGAGAUCAACACUAAUAUUAGCUACUCGUACAUCAACAUCCAGUUGAUAGUUCUGUAUCGAGAACGACUGAUAGUGUUCCUAUGUGAGUUAGACAGGCACGACCACAAAUACGCAUAACACUCCAAAGACGCAGUUCUAUUCCGGGGGCAAUGAGAAUCCUGCUAGUGCAUACGCUGGAGAUUGUCGUUAACAACAGCUCCAAACUGAGCCGUUGGUUCUAGCGAUGCUUAUGGACAACAAAUUCGCGGUCCGCAAUGCCAUCAUAUGGAACGCCGAGCAGAAGGUGUGCUUCGGCCCAGCAACUGUUUACUCGCCACUAAAAUCAUACCGUGCCCAGGACCGUGCCCUUACAGCAUAGCCGCUAGUAAUCUCGGAACAAAAACCAGAAAUUAUACCACCAUCGGAGCCCACACGUGCCCGCUUUGCCUACUUCUCCGCCGCAACAUGCUACGCCGGUGUCAAUAUCUGUCUGGCCGGUUCGCUAUCCGGAAAUUCUACCACACUGAGUCCCAGGUCUCGUCACUCAACACAGAAGUCAGCAACAUCAAAUUUUCCCCGCCACCGAUAUAGAUUCAGCAUCAACCGAUCGCUUCAGUACCGCAUCCCCCAUACUGAUAGAGAACCGGAAGGAUAGAAUCCACUCGUACAUCUACGAUUACUCCGCCGCUAGUGAUGCAACUAAUGCGACUACAAGUGCUACAAGGCUGCACUUUAUCGACGAUGGAUCUUGGAGUGCAACUGCCUACUGCAGUGUUAUUCUUUAUAAAAAGGAGACCAGCAGUUGGUUUUGCAGAACGGCGAUUUCGACCGCAAAUUAUCACAACACUUCGAGAAGUGCAAAGAGAAUCCUGCUCCUCGAUGCACAGGAGAUCGCCGAAGACAGUCGUUUGCAACAGCGUAAUACCAUCAUGUGAGGCGUUGAGCUUAAACUGUAUUGUAUUAAUCAUGUUGUGUUAUAUACUUUAUGAAACUGUUGAAAAUCAGAGUUUUGCCAAGCCAAAAUAUCCGAAAAGACAGUACCUUACUUUUGCGAGUUAUUCCGGGUUUCAUAGUCUUUUGCGGAAUGUCUUUAUUGGUAUAUUUAGACUUGAAAAAAACACCACUUGAAGCUAUGAAAAGUAAAAGUAAUAAAAAUUUAAAUUGUUUGUAAAAAACAAUUCAUUUGUGUUUAUAACAUAUUUCAUUGUUUUCCAAUGACUGAUUAUUUUUUUUUAUCUGUUUUCUAAAUAUAUUUUGAUUAGUUUUAGAAUAUUAGGAAAGCUUUCAUAAGUCGUAAAUUUUUGCAAAUAUAAACAAAAUAUAUGAAAGAAAAGGAUAAAAAAGAUUUAAUCAUGUCAGAAUUGGUAAUCGUUUAUAUAGCUCGAUUUGUUACAUCCGAUGUUACAUCGUUUUGAUUACAUCCUGUCUGUGUACGUCGAAAUUAUUACAUCGCAAAAAUUACAUCGGAUCUGUUUAUUACAUCAAUAGCCCGCGAGUACAUCGGGCUGUGUAAUAUCAAUCGAUCGAUGUAACGACUUGGUUGCAGCGAUUUCGAUGUAAUAUUCAACAACUUUUUUUG